rnacentral:rRNA from 1 species
CUGUACAGUUCUAGAGUUUGAUCCUGGCUCAGAUUGAACGCUGGCGGCAUGCCUUACACAUGCAAGUCGAACGGUAACAGGUCUUCGGACGCUGACGAGUGGCGAACGGGUGAGUAAUACAUCGGAACGUGCCCAGUCUGGGGGAUAACUACUCGAAAGAGUAGCUAAUACCGCAUACGAUCUGAGGAUGAAAGCGGGGGACCUUCGGGCCUCGCGCGAUUGGAGCGGCCGAUGGCAGAUUAGGUAGUUGGUGGGAUAAAAGCUUACCAAGCCGACGAUCUGUAGCUGGUCUGAGAGGACGACCAGCCACACUGGGACUGAGACACGGCCCAG